UUGCAAGCCUGAGAAAGUUAUAAAUGAAAAAGACUAUCAACACAAUAUCUGUAUACACAUUGUUAUUAAUGUUAAGAGCUGUGCUUGACUUAAAUCCUAACCUUUUUUAUGGUAUAUUUAAAAUAUAUACUAAUUCUCACUAAUAAAUAUCGUAACUUGAGUGCAAAUAUCCACCACAAACUUGUUUUAUCCCUACUGACUUUAUUUCCUCUUAAUGUUUAAUGAUGAUCCAACAUGAUGAGCAUAGCUCAGUUAGACAAAUUAUUACAUAAGAAAUACCAUGCAGUUGUAACACAAUAAUUUGUGCUAUAUCAGAGAUCAAAACAGAAUAAAUUUGAAAAAGAAAUACAGAUGGAUGACAAGUUUGAGAAAUUAAUCUCUGAUCUUGUGAGGGUGUUGAUUUCACCAGCGAUACCAUUGUCUGAGCAGAAAGUUGAUGAACCAGGGUUAUGUGAAAGAAUGCCAAC